UACAGGGGGGGCAAGCGUUGUUCGGAAUUACUGGGCGUAAAGGGCCAGUAGGCGGCCAACUAAGUCCGACGUGAAAUCCCCAGGCUUAACCUGGGAACUGCGUCGGAUACUGGAUGGCUUGAAUUCGGGAGAGGGAUGCAGAAUUCCAGGUGUAGCGGUGAAAUGCGCAGAUAUCGGGAGGAACACCAGUGGCGAAGGCGGUUGCCUGGAGCUUUGCUGACGCUGAGGCGCGAAAGCGUGGGGAGCGAUCCGG
rnacentral:rRNA from 1 species